CAGUCGCCGCGGUAAUACGAAGGGGGCUAGCGUUGUUCGGAUUUACUGGGCGUAAAGGGCGCGUAGGCGGAUUUGUAAGUCAGGGGUGAAAUCCCGAGGCUCAACCUCGGAACUGCCUUUGAUACUGUGGAUCUUGAGUCCGGGAGAGGUGAGCGGAACUGCGAGUGUAGAGGUGAAAUUCGUAGAUAUUCGCAAGAACACCAGUGGCGAAGGCGGCUCACUGGCCCGGAACUGACGCUGAGGCGCGAAAGCGUGGGGAGCAAACAGGAUUAGAUACCCGAGUAGUCCCUGUCUCUUAUAC
rnacentral:rRNA from 1 species